ACCAAUGAUGCUAUGCCCAGCAUUUCAAGGUGCAAAUGGCUGCAGGAUCCUGUUUACAAAAUGAACCUACCUUGAGGCACUGUAUCCACAUGAUAUUCAUGGGCAAGCCUGAGGU
rfam:Triticum aestivum genome assembly, contig: Triticum_aestivum_CS42_TGACv1_scaffold_404550_5BL